rnacentral:rRNA from 1 species
AGCGAACGCUGGCGGCAUGCCUAACACAUGCAAGUCGAACGGGAAAGUGGGAGCAAUCCCAUGAGUAUAGUGGCGCACGGGUGAGUAACACGUGACUAACCUACCCUCGAGUGGGGAAUAACCCCGGGAAACCGGGGCUAGCACCGCAUAAUACCGCAAGGUCAAAUGCGCAAGCAGCUUGAGGAGGGGGUCGCGGUUGAUUAGCUAGUUGGUAGGGUAAUGGCCUACCAAGGCAGUGAUCAAUAGCCGGCCUGAGAGGGCGCACGGCCACACUGGAACUGAAACACGGUCCAGACUCCUACGGGAGGCAGCAGUGGGGAAUUUUGCGCAAUGGGGAAACCCUGACGCAGCAAUGCCGCGUGGAGGAUGAAGUCCUUUGGGAUGUAAACUCCUUUCGAUCGGGAAGAUAAUGACGGUACCGGAAGAAGAAGCCCCGGCUAACUCUGUGCCAGCA